rnacentral:rRNA from 1 species
GUCUAUGACCAUACCAUCCUGAACACACCCGAUCUCAUCUGAUCUUGGAAGCUAAGAAGCUGAGGCUCAUGGAGUAGGGCAUGUGCC